rnacentral:rRNA from 1 species
UACUUUCAGUCGUGAGGAAGGUGUUAGGGUUAAUAACCUUAGCAAUUGACGUUAGCGACAGAAGAAGCACCGGCUAACUCCGUGCCAGCAGCCGCGGUAAUACGGAGGGUGCGAGCGUUAAUCGGAAUUACUGGGCGUAAAGGGCACGCAGGCGGUUAAUUAAGUUGGAUGUGAAAUCCCCGGGCUUAACCUGGGAAUGGCAUUCAAGACUGGUUAGCUAGAGUCUUGUAGAGGGGGGUAGAAUUCCAUGUGUAGCGGUGAAAUGCGUAGAGAUGUGGAGGAAUACCGGUGGCGAAGGCGGCCCCCUGGACAAAGACUGACGCUCAUGUGCGAAAGCGUGGGGAGCAAACAGGAUUAGAUACCCUGGUAGUCCACGUUGUAAACGAUGUCGAUUUGGAGGUUGUGGUCAGGAACUGUGGCCUCCGGAGCUAACGCGUUAAAUCGACCGCCUGGGGAGUACGGCCGCAAGGUUAAAACUCAAAUGAAUUGACGGGGGCCCGCACAAGCGGUGGAGCAUGUGGUUUAAUUCGAUGCAACGCGAAGAACCUUACCUACUCUUGACAUCCAGNGAAGCUUUUAGAGAUAGAGGCGUGCCUUCGGGAACUUUGAGACAGGUGCUGCAUGGCUGUCGUCAGCUCGUGUUGUGAAAUGUUGGGUUAAGUCCCGCAACGAGCGCAACCCUUAUCCUUUGUUGCCAGCGAUUAGGUCGGGAACUCAAAGGAGACUGCCGGUGAUAAACCGGAGGAAGGUGGGGAUGACGUCAAGUCAUCAUGGCCCUU